UACAGGGGGUGCAAACGUUGCUCGGAAUCAUUGGGCGUAAAGCGCACGUAGGCGGCUCUGCAAGUCGGAUGUGAAAUCCCUCGGCUCAACCAAGGAAGUGCAUCCGAAACUGCGGAGCUUGAGUACUUAAGAGGAUCGCGGAAUUCCCGGUGUAGAGGUGAAAUUCGUAGAUAUCGGGAGGAACACCAGUGGCGAAGGCGGCGAUCUGGGAAGAUACUGACGCUGAGGUGCGAAAGCGUGGGGAGCAAACAGG
rnacentral:rRNA from 1 species